ACGCUCGACACCUACGGGAGGCAGCAGUGGGGAAUAUUGCACAAUGGGGGAAACCCUGAUGCAGCGACGCCGCGUGAGGGAAGAAGGUUUUCGGAUUGUAAACCUCUGUCCUUGGUGAAGAAGGAAGACGGUAGCCAAGGAGGAAGCCACGGCUAACUACGUGCCUGCAGCCGCGGUAAUCUGAGCGGGCUGGCAAGGC
rnacentral:rRNA from 1 species